rnacentral:misc_RNA from 1 species
GAUGAAGAACGUAGCGAAAUGCGAUAAGUAAUGUGAAUUGCAGAAUUCAGUGAAUCAUCGAAUCUUUGAACGCACAUUGCGCCCGUCAGUAUUCUGGCGGGCAUGCCUGUUCGAGCGUCAUUACGCCCCUCAAGUCCCCUGUGGACUUGGUGUUGGGGAUCGGCGAGGCUGGUUUUCCAGCACAGCCGUCCCUUAAAUUAAUUGGCGGUCUCGCCGUGGCCCUCCUCUGCGCAGUAGUAAAACACUCGCAACAGGAGCCCGGCGCGGUCCACUGCCGUAAAACCCCCCAACUUUUUAUAGUUGACCUCGAAUCAGGUAGGACUACCCGCUGAGCUUAAGCAUAUCAAUAAGCGGAGGA